CAAAGGCUCCAACAUUUGCGGUGGUUUCUCGUCGAUCGUAAGUUUAAUUGUAAGCGACAUGAAUUGGAACUGUGAAAUAGGUAACGAAUAUGUAAUACAAGGGAAACAUCAAAAACUUUGGAACGAGAACGAAAGGGACAGAAAGUUCAGCACGGCCAGAAGUAUGGGAUGUGAUUUUUUAAGUUAUAAUUAUAUCAAUUAAAGUGAUUAGCUAUGAAAUGUAAUUGAUAAUUUAUUAAAAAAAAUUCAUUAUACUAUCAUUUAAAAACCA